rnacentral:rRNA from 1 species
GACGAACGCUGGCGGCGUGCUUAACACAUGCAAGUCGAACGGGAAGGCCCUGCUUUUGUGGGGUGCUCGAGUGGCGAACGGGUGAGUAACACGUGAGUAACCUGCCCUUGACUUUGGGAUAACUUCAGGAAACUGGGGCUAAUACCGGAUAGGAGCUCCUGCUGCAUGGUGGGGGUUGGAAAGUUUCGGCGGUUGGGGAUGGACUCGCGGCUUAUCAGCUUGUUGGUGGGGUAGUGGCUUACCAAGGCUUUGACGGGUAGCCGGCCUGAGAGGGUGACCGGCCAAAUUGGGAGUGAGAGACGGACCAGACUAGAACGGGAGGCAGCAGUGGGGAAUAUUGAAAAAUGGGCGGAAGCCUGAUGCAGCAAAGCCGCGUGCGGGAUGACGGCCUUCGGGUUGUAAACCGAUUUCGCCUGUGACGAAGCGUGAGUGACGGUAAUGGGUAAAGAAGCACCGGCUAACUACGUG